GGAGUAUAAGCCAGAUAUUAUCAUCAGUGUUCAUCCACUGAUGCAACAUAUUCCUUUAUGGGUUCUCAAAUGGCAAGGCCUUCAGAAAAAAGUGGUGUUUGUUACAGUCAUAACAGACUUAAACACCUGCCAUCCAACAUGGUUUCAUCCUGGUGUAAACAGAUGCUACUGCGCAUCAGAGGCAGUAGCCAAGAGAGCCUUG
rnacentral:misc_RNA from 1 species